rnacentral:rRNA from 1 species
AGAAACUAACAAGGAUUCCCCUAGUAACGGCGAGUGAAGCGGGAUGAGCUCAAAUUUGAAAGCUGGCGCUUGCGUCCGCAUUGUAAUCUCGAGACGUGUUUUCCGUGCUGGACCGCGUACAAGUCCCUUGGAAUAGGGCAUCGUAGAGGGUGAGAAUCCCGUACUUGACGCGACCGCCAGUGCUUUGUGAUACACGCUCUAAGAGUCGAGUUGUUUGGGAAUGCAGCUCAAAAUGGGUGGUAAAUUCCAUCUAAAGCUAAAUAUUGGGGAGAGACCGAUAGCGAACAAGUACCGUGAGGGAAAGAUGAAAAGCACUUUGGAAAGAGAGUUAAACAGUACGUGAAAUUGUCGAAAGGGAAGCGCUUGAAGUUAGCUAUGCCUGUCGAGAUUCAGCCUUGCUUUUUGCAUGGUGUAUUUCUCGGUUUGGCAGGCCAGCAUCGGUUUUGGUUGCCGGAUAAGGGUAGGAGGAACGUGGCACCCUCGGGUGUGUUAUAGCCUCCUACUGGAUACGGCGGCUGGGACCGAGGAACGCAGUGCGCCUUCGGGUGGACCUUCGGGUACCUUCGCACUUUGGAUGCUGGCGUAAUGGCUUUAAGCGACCCGU